UUCUGUCACACCCUGCAUCCUUUUUAGCACUGUGGAUCAGCUUAGCUCACAGAGAACCACUAAGGUGGGGCCAAGAGGAGUUAGAAUGAGGACUUGGGGCUGGAUUUCUGGAAGGGCCUCUUGGUGAUGCUAAGGAACCAGCUUGGCUUCAACCUUUACCUGGAAAGUCCAUUCCCAAGAUUGGAUUUUGAUCCCUGUUGCUGGAGCAGCCUGGUCAGCAUUUCUGCAAGGUCCCAAAAGGGAAGGAAGCUAUUUAUUGAGCACUGGAUAUGGAGCUGAAUCCAGAGCUGCUGUUGGCGGAUUGUACCCACGGGGAGAUGAUUCCUCAUGAAGAGCCUGGAUCCCCUACAGAAAUCAAAUGUGACUUUCCAUUUAUCAGACUAAAAUCAGAGCCAGCCAAACAGUGA